AUUGAACGCUGGCGGCAGGCCUAACACAUGCAAGUCGAGCGGAUGAAGGGAGCUUGCUCCUGGAUUCAGCGGCGGACGGGUGAGUAAUGCCUAGGAAUCUGCCUGGUAGUGGGGGAUAACGUCCGGAAACGGGCGCUAAUACCGCAUACGUCCUGAGGGAGAAAGUGGGGGAUCUUCGGACCUCACGCUAUCAGAUGAGCCUAGGUCGGAUUAGCUAGUUGGUGGGGUAAAGGCCUACCAAGGCGACGAUCCGUAACUGGUCUGAGAGGAUGAUCAGUCACACUGGAACUGAGACACGGUCCAGACUCCUACGGGAGGCAGCAGUGGGGAAUAUUGGACAAUGGGCGAAAGCCUGAUCCAGCCAUGCCGCGUGUGUGAAGAAGGUCUUCGGAUUGUAAAGCACUUUAAGUUGGGAGGAAGGGCAGUAAGUUAAUACCUUGCUGUUUUGACGUUACCAACAGAAUAAGCACCGGCUAACUU
rnacentral:rRNA from 2 species